rnacentral:lncRNA from 1 species
ACUGCCCAAAUCCAAGAUGGCUACCAGGAGGCCGUCAGUUCUCGGAAGUGCGGCACAUCCUCACUCCUGGGAGGCUCAAAGGCUCAAACGCCAUUGGCAGAAUCCCCGACAGCUCAUCCUCCGCCCCCUGCAGGGGGCGGUAAUGACAGAGUCCUAAUUUCCGGUUCCGGCAGUACCGGUAGCCCAGUCGAGAUGGAGGAAGAUGCGACCGGCAGACGGCAUUCGCUGGGAACGACGGAUAGACUGGGGGCUGCGGCCUAGAGGUCCGGGCUUGGAGUUCGCCUCAGACGCGGUGGAGCCGCCGGAGUCUGAGAAGGUUGAGGGCAAGAACUCCAUCAUCCUGACCUUCAGACAGCUGAUGGCAGAAGAAGGGCCUUGGGGCCUCAUGAAGGGCCUCUCGGCCAGAAUCAUCUCAGCCACACCUUCCACCAUUGUCAUUGUGGUGGGCUAUGAGAGCCUCAAGAAACUCAGCCUCCGACCUGAGCUGGUGGACUCGAGACACUGGUAACCAGUGGUGGGGAGAGAAGCCUGCUGUUUUCCACACUACCGUGGGUCAGGGGCAGAGUGGAGAGGACAGCACCCUCUCCAGGUGCUCCCACCACACACCCAGCCCUGCCCUGGGCCAAGUGGCCUAUCUGGGAUAGGGAUAGAGACUUUGAACUGCUCUUGCUGAAGAGGCUCCACGCCUGGAUCCCUUGCCCCCACUAUUUAAAAUUCUCUUCUGAGCUGGGCUCCCUCACUCAGUCCCUGUAUUUGAUACUGGCCUAAAGACCCCACCCCCCACCCUGCCAGCCCUUCUUCUGGCUUCCCCUUCCAUCUGUGUCCCUGAGACCCUGAGAAGAGCUGUACAUAGAGCUUGCUUACUACCACUGGUUCUUCCUCUUGGGCUUUCAGCCCAGACUCCAAGCAGCUGCUAUCAACCCUCUCUCCCUUCAUCUCUUAGCCUUGCUUAUUUUUAUUUUGGGACCGAGCUGCCCACUAGAUGACUCUGCUUUUCCCUGCAUUUGGGGCUAAGGUGCCAGGUACUUAUUUGCACAGGGAGCAGGAGCAGCAAAAAAUCUCUGGUUCUCCAGAGCACUCGUCCUCUCUUUGGAGGGGUUAUUAGGUUGGGAGAAAUGUUGAUACUUUUGUUUUGUGUGUGUGUGUGUGUGUGUGUGUGUGUGUGUGUGUGUGUGUGUUUUAACAUCUGUGAACCAGGCUAUUAGUCCUGCUAAAGCGCCAAUCCUGCUGUCAGAGCUCACCCCCUUCCUAAGACAGGUAGAAAAAUGUAAUGUAGCUUUUUCCACAAGCCACUUCCCUGUCCCUUCAGUCUCAGGAGCCCUAGGAGAGUCUAAGCUGGGGCAUCCCCUGGCCCAGAGGACUCCCGUGGUGGGCACAGUUCUAAGUGGAUCAGGCUGUCUUGGGUGCACUGGACUUGGAGCACUACCUUGAGAAGUCAGGUUGAGAAAGUAGUUGAUCUAGAAGGCAACAAGUGGGCAUGUGUUCCCCAGCACAUUACCCAGGCCAGCAGAGCCAAACCUAGGAGAGGGCAGUGGGUAGAUUCUCUGCCCCAGGCAGCCAUGACAUACACAUAAAUACCCCAAUCACUCAGACUUACGGCAACAAGUGUUGUCUCACUAUGGUGAUCUCUAAGAUCCACAUCACUGGAUGCGUAGUCAUCCCAGUCAUGGUACCCUGUGGAGGAAUGCUGGAAGAACAUAAAGAGCAGUUCAGAAAGUCACCCAAUACCAGGACCACUGCAUUUACCAGCCUGAUACUGCCAAGAUUAUCUGAUGCUCUCCUCAGGAGCUAGGAGAGGAGUGCUCCUUCCUCCCUACCGCUACUCUCCCCAAGCCUGUGUUGCAGGUAGAGAGGUGCAGCAAAUAGAGAAGGCAUGUCAAACCCUGCAUUUCUACCUGAGACGUGUGACCUGGAUGAUCCUCCAAACCCUAUUGGUCCCACCCCCUGGGAAAGGCCAUGGUGCCAGUUUGAAAGGUGCUAGCUACCUGAAGCCUUGAUAUUUCUUCAUGGCUGCCGCACAUUCUUCCACCUUGGCCAGAACAGGUUCUGAAAACCACUUCUCUACCUUCACCACCACCACUGCCCAUCUUGAUCUCUUUGAGGGUUUUCCCAUUUCACUUGAUCUUAUUUUUGUUUAUCCCUUCCUGCACUUUGUCAAGAGAGUCCUCCAGUUUCUAUCCAGGAAUGUUCACAUCCAAAGGGUUGGACCCACGGAUCAUUCUGAAUCUUCCUGCCCCUCCUCACUGCUUAACCCUGAGAACCACAAAUAUAAUGGAAGCAGUUCCCCCCACCCUCACCCCAUCUCUUUAAGCUCAUCCUAGCAAGACCUCUAGAGACCCUAGAGACUCGACUUUAGUCCUUCCCCGCCAUGGCACAGUGGGGAAGGUGUCAAUGGGGAGUGUCACGGACAGGAGGUAGGAUCCUGCCGCUCGCGUCUUAGUGUUUCUCCCUCAAGACUUUCCUUCUGUUUUGUUGUCUUGUGCAGUAUUUUACAGCCCCUCUUGUGUUUUUCUUUAUUUCUCGUACACACACGCAGUUUUAAGGGUGAUGUGUGUAUAAUUAAAAGGACCCUUGGCCCAUACUUUCCUAAUUCUUUAGGGACUGGGAUUGGGUUUGACUGAAAUAUGUUUUGGUGGGGAUGGGACGGUGGACUUCCAUUCUCCCUAAACUGGAGUUUUGGUCGGUAAUCAAAACUAAAAGAAACCUCUGGGAGACUGGAAACCUGAUUGGAGCACUGAGGAACAAGGGAAUGAAAAGGCAGACUCUCUGAACGUUUGAUGAAAUGGACUCUUGUGAAAAUUAACAGUGAAUAUUCACUGUUGCACUGUACGAAGUCUCUGAAAUGUAAUUAAAAGUUUUUAUUGAGCCCCCGA